UAGUACAAAGGUCCAAAAUCAUUCCUGGAGA
rnacentral:piRNA from 2 species